rnacentral:rRNA from 1 species
AUGACGGACCUCAAGACCGCCGCCUAUCAUGCCGACGACGUUCUCGACGACUUCCGCUACGAGGCGUUGCGACUCCGUGCUGCACAGAUGCGCCCCUACUCCACGGCACGCAAGAUGCUGAGCUACUUCACCACCAGCAGCCCGAUUGUUUUUCGUCUCUCCAUGAGCAGGAAGAUGAAAGAUGCCCUUGAAAUGAUAGACGAACUGGUUGUGGAGAUGAAUAACUUUCACUUCCUACAACAUGCCGGGGCACCAACCAUUGUUCAGCCGCAAACACACUCACAUGUCAAUGAAUUACAAAUCGUCGGCAGACAAGAUGAAAAGGAACAAGUGGUGAAGAUAUUGCUCAACCAGUCUGAUAAUAGCAACAUUGGUAAUAGUGGCAUCAUGGUGCUCCCCAUAGUUGGCAUGGGGGGAAUUGGCAAAACUACCCUUGCCCAACUUGUUCACAAUGAUCAAAGGGUGAAGGACCAUUUUGAGUUGGUCUUGUGGGUAUGUGUCUCUGACAAGUUCAUUAUUGAAGAAAUCAUCCGGUCCAUAAUAGAAGUGGCCACCAUGAAGAAGUGUGGUUUGACUCAGAUGGAGGCACUGCAGAAGGAACUCAGUAAAGUUUUGGCCAAGAAAAGGUACCUCCUAGUAUUGGAUGAUGUUUGGAAUGAAGAUCGACGGAAGUGGGAUGACAUGAGAUCAUUGUUGUGCGCACAUUCUAGAUCGGGUAGUGCUGUAAUUGUGACAAGCCGCAAUGAUCAAGUUGCUUCUAUGAUGGGCACACUUCCACCACAUCAGAUGUCACUUCUAAAUGAAGAUCAAUCAUGGGAGCUUUUUCACAAAAAUGCAUUUGGUAGAGAAGUGGAAAAACCAGAGGAAUUCAACUCAAUAGCUAAGAGUAUUUUACACAAGUGUAAGGGGUUGCCUCUUGCUAUCAACACAGUGGCAACUUUACUUCAUUCAAAGCAUCACAGUCAGUGGGUUUCUAUUUUGAACAGUGAUGUUUGGAAGAAUGACGUCCUGGCAACUGGGAUUGUACCUGCUCUACAGCUGAGCUAUGAUCACUUGUCAUCAGAAGCAAAAUUAUGUUUUUCAUUCUGUGCUAUUUUCCCCAAGGAUAGCCCGAUGGAUACAAACAUGUUAAUCCAGCUUUGGAUGGCAAAUGACUUUACUGCAUCAGAAACAAUAGGCCAACAAAUUUUCAAUAUGCUAGUCCAAAGAUGUUUCCUCCAAGAUGUGGAGAUUCAAAAGAAUCGUCUCUCUCAGUUUCGACAUGGGUUCAUCCACCGACCAACUACUUGCAAGAUGCAUGAUCUCAUGCAUGAUCUUGCUGACUCUGUAAGCGGAAAUGGUUGCUUCCACUUGCAAUCAUUUUCAUCACGUCGACGAAUUUUGGAAGGAUCCAUAGACGCUGGUUCAUUACAGCAUCAGGUUCGACAUUUGUCACUUGAUUAUGACUAUUUUAAUGUUAAAGUCAUGAUGAAAAUUCUAGCUCCCGGAGCCCGCACGAUAUUAAGCCAACGCCAAUUGGGCUAUCAACGUCCACUAAGAAAGUCCAAGUCAGAAUUAAUGUCCUUACGAGCAGUGAAGACGUUCCCAAGCAUAACACAAAUGACAAAUUUGAAGCAUCUUCGCUAUUUAGACUGUUCUUAUUCUGAUAUAUCUGCAUUGCCUGAAGCCACCACCAUGUUGUAUUGCUUGCAAACAUUGAAGCUCAUUGGUUGUAGAGAACUCAAGAAAUUACCAGAAGGGAUGAGAUAUAUGAGCAGUCUUCGACACAUCUUCCUUGUUGGGUGUCAUAGUUUGGAGCAGAUGCCGCAAGGUAUUAGUCAGUUGAAUUCCCGACAAACGUUGACGAGUUAUGUCAUUGAUAGUGAUACAGGUCGUGGAAUUGAUCAACUGAAAGAUUUAAAUCUAUGUGGUGCUCUUUCUUUGACUGAGCUGAGAAAAGUGCAUGGUGCAGAAAAUGCUAAACAAGGCAAUAUGUCUGACAAGCAUAAUUUGAAGCGAUUAUCACUCGAUUGGACAAAUGGACAUUAUGGCUCAUAUUUUGGAUAUGGAGUCGAUAAUAUUGCAGAAGGGAUAUUGGAGGCUCUUCGUCCACACAAAAAGCUUGAAGUUUUACUGUUAUCUAAUUAUACUGGUCCCAAAUUCUCAUCAUGGAUGCACAACUGUACCCAGUUAGAACAUCUUAGUGAACUUUCUCUGACUGGAUGUGAGAACUGCAAGUAUCUUCCACCAUUGUGGCAGCUGCCCUCUCUUGGGUACUUGGCUUUGGAUGGUUUGCAUAGCGUGACAAGUAUAUGUAUUGUUAAUGAUGAGAUGGACAAUGUGGAAUCAUGUAUUUCUCGGCCACCCUUCUUUCCUAAAUUGGAAACCAUGAUAAUUUCCGACAUGCCUGAGCUAGAGAGAUGGCACCAAGAGGUGGCAGGACAAGUGGCAAUUGUAUCAUUGCCGCAGCUCAAGAAGCUAAUUAUUGAUAAUUGCCCAAUGCUAUCAAGCAUGCCCAGGACGCUCCCUUUGGUUGAAGAUCUACAGGUGGUUAGCGCAAGAGACAUUCCCCUUCACCAUCUAAUGAAUCUGUCUAUGCAAUCUAAUCUUGAGUGCAAAGGCUCCAUUGUAGUUGAACCUGUUGGUUGUCUAUCUAUGGACCUUCAUUUCUCAAGGCUUGGUGACUCUGAUGUGUUAGUGAGACUCACAGUUUUGAGGGAAAAUGUAGGGCGCUUUGAAGAGGAGAUGAACAGAACACCUUGCAGAUUUAUUAAGAAGCUGGAUAUAAUAGAUUGUGACUGUCUUUUCUCACAUGAACUGUCCCAAAUACAACGGAAUAUAUGGAACCAUUUUGGUUUUGUUGAAAGUAUGUGGAUUACAGGCAUCAAUAAUAUAAUACAAUGGCCAGCAGUAGAAUUCCCAUCAACAAUAUCUGAUGACGAAAAUGUCCUGCUUCCUCGACUCCAGGUUCUUAAAAUUAUAGGAUGUGAAAAUUUGGUGGAAAUACCAAGGCUGCCUGCAUCUCUUGAAAUAUUGCACAUCAGUUGUUGUCAGAAGCUGGUGUCCAUGCCAAUAAUUCUCGGGAACAUAAAAAAGAUGAGAGAACUCGAAGUGUAUCGGUGCAGUGCACUGGCAACAUUUCUAGAUGGAAUGCAUGGAAUCACUGCACUCAAGAAGCUGCGAAUGGAGUGCUGCCCAACCCUAGAGACACUACCGGAGGGGCUCCUGCAGCAGCUCCCAGCCCUCCAGGAACUAUGUAUUACAGAUUGCCCCAAGUUGGAGGAGGCCUUCUCAGGAGGAGGCACUUACUGGGAUUUGGUU